CUCAGGAUAACGAAAAUAAACACUCUCAUUGCUGAGGAGUCCCACAGUCUCUGGCUACUUUGCCCUAUUUUCUGCCCCAUCCUGUGCCUUCUUUCCUUUUGUCCUUCUCCUGGAUGCUUUCUGCAUCUCUUUUGCUGCAGGAUGUGGUGGCCAUCCCCAUUCUCUGCGAUUUUAAUGAACAUCAGCUGUCUGGGAGAAGACUCCCAACAUCUGUCUUUUUUUUUUUUUUUUUUUUUUUUUGAGACUGGGUCCAGGCUGGAGUGCAGUGCUGCGCCCUGCAACCUCUGCCUCCUGGGUUCAAGUGAUUCUCCUGCUUCAGCCUCCUGAGUAGCUGGGAUUACAGGCACCCACCACCACACCCAGCUAAUUUUUGUAUUUUUAAUAGAGACGGGGUUUCACCAUGUUGACCAGGCUGGUCUUGAACUCCUGACCUCGAGUGAUCCACCCACCUCGGCCUCCCAAAGUGCUGGGAUUGCAGCCAUGAGCCUCCAUGCCCGGCCCCCAACAUCUGUCUUGUUCAAAAAAGAGCCAGCAUGUAGACAGGGACGGACCACACCAGGCAGGGCUGGGGAUGCUGGCCAGGAGAUGGGAUCUGAUCAUCAACUGAAAUGUUACCUGGGAGGUCUUCAGAUUGGCUGCCUCAUCUCCUUUCUCUCCAGGGGAUGCUUGCUAGCACAUGGAUCUUACUUCACCUCUUCUGGACAGUUUCCCUUCCCCCUGGCAGCCCUCACCAGGCUUCUGGGAAGUGAGGGGACAUAGGAAAUGGACUUCACACUAUUACUGAACAGAUGAGAGUCCCUGAAGUCAUGGAUUCAUUUCCUUCCUGAGUAGCCUUGUCACCCUUGUUGUUUCUCUCCACAGGUUUCAAGUUGCCCUAGCAUGCAGGAUGAGAUGGCUUCAGAGAGGAUGGGCAGCCCGGUUUCAUCAGAGUGACAGUGGAAAGUACCUUGGGCUUUGUGGUCAGAAGAGCCCAGCUCCAGGGCAGUGUGUUUCCUGAAGCCAUGUGACCUUGAGCAAAUCGCUUUUGUCUUUGACCCUCUGUUUUCUUCUGGGUUAAUGAAAAUAGGGGCGAUGCUUCUUUGCCACAGGUUCAUGACUGCCUGCCACUUCCUCUCUGUUCUCCUGCCUCCUCUGUCUGGAAGACAUGUCCAGUUUCCUCCACUCCUGGAUUCUCCUUGCUUUUGUCCUCAGACCAUCAGAUUCAAGAGAGGCAGUGCAGGUGGAUGGCAAAGGGACCCGGAUACAAAAAGCUGAGUCAGGCCCCGGGCCAGGGCUAACCAUGCGCAGGGCAGAGUCCCUGGGGCUGCAGUUGGUUAUCAUUACUGUUUUCUUUUUCUUUUCUUUUCUUUUUUUUUUUUUUUUUUUUUUUGAGACGGAGUCUCGCUCUGUCGCCCAGGCUGGAGUGCUGUGGCACGAUCUCUGCUCACUGCAAGCUCCGCCUCCCGGGUUCACGCCAUUCUCCUGCCUCAGCCUCCCGAGUAGCUGGGACUACAGGCGCCCGCCACUACGCCCAGCUAAUUUUUUGUGUUUUUAGUAGAGAUGGGGUUUCACCGCGUUAGCCAGGAUGGUCUCAAUCUCCUGACCUCAUGAUCCGCCCGCCUCGGCCUCCCAAAGUGCUGGGAUUACAGAUGUGAGCCACCGCACCCGGCCUUAAUUUCUGUUUUUAAAGACAGUGUCUCACUCUGUCACCCAGGCUGGAGCAUAGUGCUGCGAUCACAGUGACACAGGAAAAUAGGGUCUGAAGGCAGGGAACAUAAGGCCGAUUCACACUUCAGCUAUAACAGGAAAUAACCUCUCCAUAGGGCGUACGAGGUGAAUGACUUUGUAAUUUUACUUCAUCGUCUCCGUUUUACAUAGGACAUACCUGAAGUAAGCAAUGGAGUCCUCUAGGGGAUAUUUAAACUCCCAAAAAUUCUGUAAAGGGGCCUCUGAGCCCCUAUGCUCAAGCCUGCUCCCACACUGGAAUAUGCUUUCAUUUUCAAUAAAACCCUUCAUUCCUUC